ensembl:lncRNA
AAAAGGUACAUUUGCUUAUGCAGUGCAAGACCCUAUGUACUUGCAAACAACACAGGAAGAGACGUGGAGGCACAAAAAAGUGCAAAUCGAAGGUUGUGUGCUUUUGAGCAGCUGUAGGAGGCUUGAGCAGUGAUUCAGAGGUGCAUGCGCUGGUUUUGUUCACUUGUUUUUAGUAAGUAUUUCAUUUUAUUCUACUAACGUUUCCUCAUGAAGUAAAAGAUGUCACAGUGCACAAUGUUCAGUGUACAUUUGCACAUUGUGCAUUAUAUGAUGUCGUUUGCGUUGUCUGUUUCUGUUCUGCAUUGAAAUGAUUCCC